GACGAACCGUGCAAACGUUAUUCGGAAUCACUGGGCUUAAAGGGCGCGUAGGCGGGCCGCCAGGUCCGGGGUGAAAGCCUCCAGCUCAACUGGAGAAGUGCCUUGGAUACCGGCGGCCUCGAGGGAGGUAGGGGCGUGCGGAACUUCGGGUGGAGCGGUGAAAUGCGUAGAUAUCCGAAGGAACACCGGUGGCGAAAGCGGCGCGCUGGAUCUCUUCUGACGCUGAGGCGCGAAAGCCAGGGGAGCAAACGGGG
rnacentral:rRNA from 1 species